rnacentral:siRNA from 1 species
UGAAUCUUGAUGAUGCAU